rnacentral:rRNA from 1 species
GAUGAACGCUGGCGGCGUGCCUAACACAUGCAAGUCGAACGAAGUUAUAUCGAGGAAGUUUUCGGAUGGAAUCGGUAUAACUUAGUGGCGGACGGGUGAGUAACGCGUGGGAAACCUGCCCUGUACCGGGGGAUAACACUUAGAAAUAGGUGCUAAUACCGCAUAAGCGCACGGAACUGCAUGGUUCUGUGUGAAAAACUCCGGUGGUACAGGAUGGUCCCGCGUCUGAUUAGCCAGUUGGCAGGGUAACGGCCUACCAAAGCGACGAUCAGUAGCCGGCCUGAGAGGGUGAACGGCCACAUUGGGACUGAGACACGGCCCAA